rnacentral:lncRNA from 1 species
CCUUUAGCCAUCACUGAGGAUAUCUUACAGUGCUGGGCGGUGUUGGGAUCUCUAGGCUGUCGUGCCUCCACAUGCACACACACACAGAUGCUGGAACUCCCUGGUGUGGUGACGAGUUAUACCAGGACCACGUGAGGACUGCGGAGCAGCAGCCCAUCACGUCACCCUUUCACCUUCCUGAGUUCACAUUUGUCUUUUCCAUUCAGGAAAUUGAGAGCUUGGGAAAUUCAUCUCUCCACCGUCUCCAAUCUGAGGACGGGGGAUGUUCAACUAACCUUCCGGUACAGCUGUGGUGAAGGAUGAAGUGUUGACUGAUGUGGGGAUGGAAUGUUGUUUCUAGAACAUUGAUCCUUGGGUCGUGCUUUGCACAGAACACGCUUCCCUGAAAUGCACACACACUCCCAAGGCAUUCACCAUCCUCCACAUUUCUCUCCUCAUACCUCUCCUCCCCACCCCGAUGGCCUUUAUUCUAUUUAAAUGACAUCACUGCUUCUGGAAACUACCGUGGAUGGCCACAGUUGCUGACUCAACUCUUCAUUUUUUCACACCAAACUGCCCAAACCUCAUUUCCAGCAGGAAGCUCAAACCAGCAAAAGCCGGGAGGAAAGUGUCACCUUUCUCAAAGCUAAGAUUUUUCCUUAUCAAAUGGGAGAUCCCAGAGUACAUACUGUAUUCCUCAAUUGCUGAGAAUGUCUGCAGAGAGAAAGGAAAACACUGUGAGGGUCAGACCAUGCUGUGUCCUGUGUUCGUGGGUCUUUUCUUCACUUGGUGGUGUUAGAAAACCGUUUGGGAGGCCAGGCACGGUGGCUCACGCCUGUAAUCCCAGCACUUUGGGAGGCCGAAACGGGCAGAUCACAAGGUCAGGAGAUCGAGACCAUUCUGGCUAACACGGUGAAAACCCGUCUCUACUAAAAAAUACAAAAAACCAGCCGGGCGAGGUGGCGGGCGCCUGUAGUCCCAGCUACUUGGGAGGCUGAGGCAGGAGAAUGGCGUGAACCCAGGAGGCAAAGCUUGCAGUGUGGUGAGAUCGCGCCACUGCACUCCAGCCUGGGCGACAGAGUGAGAAUCCAUCUCAGAAAAAAAAAAAAAAAGAAAGAAAACCAGUUGGGAAAUAGUGCUCGAGUCAAUGGCCCCAAAAUAAAGCCUAGAAGACACUUGUGGAAAUGAGUAAGAGUACUGCAUGAGAUUUCCAAAAUGAUUUUUGGUUGCAAAGUCACCGCUAUUUUCAAGAAUGCAUUUCUCCUGAGGAAAAUGCUCUCUGCCAUGCAGGGUAUCACUAACGCUGUCAUCUAUGAGUGCCGUCUGGAACAAGUUCCAAGUUGGCAAUGAAUGGGCUCUCACAUACCUCUGCCCACCAAGAAAUUCUGUGGCUCAUCUGUAAAGUACGUGGUAAGAUUUACAUAUCUUAAUUCAGAGAAAGUAGAAAGAAACCAAAAUAAAUGAAAUUCGCAUCUCAGACAAAGAAAGAAGACUUUACCGAGUGUGCUGCCCGGAUCAGGUCCCAGGAAGUCACCGAGGGCCACUGCCACUCCUGGUGGUAGUCUAGGAAACAGAGUCACUGUCAGCCGUGGGAGCUGCUGAAGGACCUCUGGCAGCCUUGGGUGCUGAGCACACAGGGCUGGUGUGUGUGGAGGAGGUGGGCGAGAAAACGGGCUGAGCUGCUGCUGGGCCACCCUCCUUGGUGGUGAAGGAGGCAAAGGACACCCUCAGGAGAGCCCUGGGAGACAGAGCCUCAGGUCUGUGGCUAAGCCACCCUCAUCACUGUGAAGUAGGCAGUGUUCACACAGGCAGCACACAAAUGCAGGAGACAUCACUCCAGGACAGGGUCUCAUCACAGAAAGAGGCCUGGUAAAUAUCCUUUAUUUUUAAAAAAGGCACUAUGUUUAACAUUCCUGACUCUACAUAUGCUCCUUCUGCACUUAUCAUCUCUAUUAUUGGAUUUUAAAGCGUUAUUGUGGUGAAAAAUACACAAUAUGUGUUAUUUUCAUUAUUAAGUGCAGACUUCAGGGCAUUAGUUCUAUUCACAAUGCUGUAUAGAUAACUAAAAACAGGCCAGGUGCGGUGGCUCACACCUGUAAUCCCAGCACUUUGGGAGGCUGAGGUGCAUGGAUCACCUGAGGUCAGGAGUUGAAGACAAGCCUGACCAAUAUGGUGAAACUCCAUCCCUAAUAAAAAUACAAAAAUUAGCCAGGCAUGGUGGUGGGCACCUGUAGUCGCAGCUUCUAGGAGGCUGAGACAGGAGAAUCACUUGAACCUGGGAGGUGGAGGUCGCAGUGAGCCAAGAUCGCACUACUGCACUCUAGCCUUGGCAACAGAGCAAGACUUUGUCUUAAACAAACGAACCAACAAAACUAAAAACCAUCUUAAUUCAGUUUUCUUACCUUCCACCUUAGGGAGCUAGAGAAAAAAACUAUAGUAUAAUGUAAACCAGACAUAAAAAUAGAACAAAAAAUUAUUUGCAGAAAUCUUUAUAAUAGAUAUGAUAAAAUAAACAAAACCAAGGGCUGCUUCAUAGGGAAGAUAAAUAGAUUUGAUAAACCUCCAGCUAACCAACAAGAAAAGCUAGGAGACACAAUUUACAAAUAAUAUAAAUCAAAGGAAGAAUCAUUCCUGCUGAUCCCAUUAAUAUCAAGCAGAUAAUAAAAGAAUAAUUUAGAAUACCAU